UAAACUACAUUUCCCAGGAGGCCUCGGGCUGCGCCUACAUCACCCAUCAUGCCCGAGCUCGGGCCCUAGCCGGUCUUCUAAGGAGUGCAGAGAAAGCCGCGGGAGUCUUCGUUGAUGGAGCAGCGGCGGCUCUGAUCCACCAGAUUAUUCUGGGCCAAGGCUUUUGCGACCUUCCUUCCUACCCGCAAAAAGAUACUAACAAUUUUCCAGCCCGGGCACGAGCCACGUGACCGGCCAGUGUCAUGUGAUCCCGGUGCUGGGCCGCGGAAGUCUGUUACCGUGGCAACUGAUCGGACCCCACAGCCUUCCGGGGAAGCGCGGAAUUUAGAGAGCGUUUUCAAUGUUUUCAAUGGAAUGUUUAGUUUGAGAAGUGAAAACUGCUGAUUAUGGCUUACUAUUCCAAAGAAGAGCUGGAUGAAGAAUUUGAACAGUUCAUGAAAGAGUGGUGUAUCAGUAGAGAAGCGUUCCGGUUUCUCCAUAUCUUUGCCAGCACUGUUGUUAUCUGGUGACCAGCUUUUUGUUUUGUUUGUUUUUAGUGAUAGAAAUCUAGAAAGCAGAAGAUUGUCGAAG